rnacentral:rRNA from 1 species
GACCCGUCUUGAAACACGGACCAAGGAGUCUAACAUGUGCGCGAGUCGUCGAGUCUAAACGAAACUCGCGAGGCGCAAUGAAAGUGAAGCUCGGCCCCGAUGAGGGUGCCGCGAGGGGAGAUCCCGUCUCGAAUAGAGCGGGCGCAUCCCCAGGGCGUUCGAUGCCGCGAAUUUUAAGCCGGCCGAACGAACCCGGAGCGCACACGUUGGGACCCGAAAGAUGGUGACCUAUGCCUGGCCAGGUCGAAGCCAGGGGAAACCCUGGUGGAGGACCGCAGCGAUUCUGACGUGCAAAUCGAUCGUCGGAGUUGGGUAUAGGGGCGAAAGACUAAUCGAACCAUCUAGUAGCUGGUUCCCCCCGAAGUUUCCCUCAGGAUAGCUGGUGCUCGCACAGAAAACGAACGGAGUUUCAUCCGGUAAAGCGAAUGAUUAGAGGCCUUGGGGUCGAAACGACCUCAACCUAUUCUCAAACUUUCAAUGGGUGAGAAGCCCGGCCUUUCGAUCCUUGAUUGAGGCCGCGGCCAUUCGAAUCUGAGCACCCAGUGGGCCAUUUUUGGUAAGCAGAACUGGCGCUGUGGGAUGAACCAAACGCCCGGUUAAGGCGCCUAAACGACGCACAUUUCGGAUCCCACGAAAAGGAGUUGGUUGCUAAAGACAGCAGGACGGUGGCCAUGGAGGUCGGAAUCCGCUAAGGAGUGUGU